UACGGAGGGUGCGAGCGUUGUCCGGAAUCAUUGGGCGUAAAGGGCGCGUAGGUGGCCCGGUCAGUCCGUGGUGAAAGCGCGGGGCUCAACCCCGCGUCGGCCAUGGAUACUGCUGGGCUUGAGCACUGUAGAGGCAGGCGGAAUUCCGGGUGUAGCGGUGGAAUGCGUAGAGAUCCGGAAGAACACCGGUGGCGAAGGCGGUCUGCUGGGCAGUAGCUGACACUGAGGCGCGACAGCGUGGGGAGCAAACAGG
rnacentral:rRNA from 1 species